CAGCCCCCAUAGUGUGAGGAGGCCUAGGACAGUUACAGAAGCCAUGUGUAGGUGUUCUGGCUCCAGCAAAAGUCUUAUCUGACAACAUCAACUACAUGUUAGUGGCCUUUCCUUGAAAUUGCUGGAGCUUGUGCAUCAUCAAAAUAAUGGCAUAAACCAAGGAAGAAGAAAACAAAAUUGAGGAAAUGGGAUCCAACACAAAAGAGAGACAACAGGAUUAAUUGAGUGUUGGUGAAAAGCCACAGCCUGUAAAUAAUGCAGUUCGAACUGAAAUAGACCAGGAGGCUCAAGGAGAGACUUCUUCAAGAAGAUAAAAUUGAUAGAAUGCCUAAGGAGUUUGAGUGCAUUGAGAAUAGAUUCAUAUCAGUUCUGGAGAACUGGGUGGAUACAUUAAUGUUAAGUACAUAGAAAAGUUAAAAAUGAAAAAAAUUCUCAAUUCUAGGGAAAAUAAUCAUAGUAAACUACAUGUUUUAGUUACCAAUAGUGUUUACGUAGUCAAUAUAAACAAUGGGCAUUGAUAUAAAUAAUGUAUGUUGAUCUGCUAUAACAAGUCUUGCCUGUCACCCAACCUGAAGUGCAGUGGCAUGAUCUCGGCUCACUGCAGACUCCGCAUCCUAGGUUCAAGCAAUUCUCCUGCCUCAGUC
rnacentral:lncRNA from 1 species